ACUAAUUCGUAUGCACGAAGUAUUGCUGAUUUAACUGAAUCAUACUUUAAACUCUCUUCAAGUGAUAAAGUAGAAUAAACUUCCAUAGCCUUGCCUACAAGUUUACAUUGCAGUAACAAAGACCAGAACUCAGGUGGCCAGUGCAAUGAAGUCGCAAUGCGUUCAAACGCAUUAAAAUAAGAAUCAGCUUCAGAUUCUCUGAAUUGUGGAACAAGCGCAAUGUGCUUACUCACGUCAAAACUUGAAGUGGAUGAAGUCGACACCGGAGAUACAUAUGAAGAAGAGGAAGAAGCUGGAACUGGCUGAAUAGCCUCCACAGCCUUCUUUGAAGCGUCCAACUCGAGCUGGCGCAGUCUCACCUGCGUAUCAGCCUCGAUUUCGAGUCUGCGUAUCUGCAAACGCAAGUCAAUUUCAGCCCGAUGGGUGUGCUCUUGCGCAUCAUAAUAAAGACGUGCCAUGCGAACUUUCAGUCGCGCAUCAUCUCGUGAACCUAUGGAGAAUGGGGAGAACGGUUCAAACGGUGGCAAACCAACAUUAGUAUCAACAGCGGCCUCCACCCCUGCUUCUGCAUCUGUACUGCCACUACACACGUUCUGAUCUCCCAUAUCUAAAGAAGUCACCACCUCAUCACCAGGGCUUGCAUGAUCAGCCGUCUCAUCCAUUUCAAUAUUUGGCGUGAUAAGAACAUUAAGCUCAACCAACUGCUCUGUUAACUUUUGCUUAAUUUCAGCUUUACGAUCCUGUCUGUUAACUACCAGUUUAAAAUGAUCAGUAAUCAAAAACAAGUCUUGUUUCCGACAAACGUCAAGCAGCUCCAAUGAAAGACUCUUAACAAAUUCCUCUAAACUGAACAUUUUAAAUUAAAGUGUCGCGUGCUCAAAAAGUGCUGCCAACUGCUACUUCUGCAACUUACCUAAAUGUCAACUACUAUACAGCAAUUUCUGUUGCCAUCAACACAGCUUUUCUUUGGUCAUUUUUCUCAAAGAUUACCAUCUGAUAAAUUUAAGAAAUAUUAAUUUCAAAAAUUACUUUUUAAAAUUAUUUUCUUGAUGAAUUCAAUUUAUUCCAGAUGAUUUAUUUUAUCUUACCUUAAUUGAUCUUAUUUAAUGUCUCAGAUAAAUAUCCGGGACGAGGCCCCAUUUCAUGUUACGAUCCUUGAUGGCAAUUUGUCUAGGGUAUUAAAAGGAGUAACAUAAAGAUGACCAAAGUAUAAACUGAUGUUGAAGAAUGGCAAAAGAAAACACCAAA